UACGUAGGUGGCAAGCGUUAUCCGGAAUUAUUGGGCGUAAAGAGCGCGCAGGUGGUUAAUUAAGUCUGAUGUGAAAGCCCACGGCUUAACCGUGGAGGGUCAUUGGAAACUGGUUGACUUGAGUGCAGAAGAGGGAAGUGGAAUUCCAUGUGUAGCGGUGAAAUGCGUAGAGAUAUGGAGGAACACCAGUGGCGAAAGCGGCUUCCUGGUCUGCAACUGACACUGAGGCGCGAAAGCGUGGGGAGCAAACAGG
rnacentral:rRNA from 1 species